rnacentral:rRNA from 1 species
GUGGGGAAUAUUGGACAAUGGGCGCAAGCCUGAUCCAGCCAUGCCGCGUGAGUGAUGAAGGCCUUCGGGUUGUAAAGAUCUUUAGUCCACGAAUAUAAUGACUGUAGUGGAAGAAUAAGCCCCGGCUAACUUCGUGCCAGCAGCCGCGGUAAUACGAAGGGGGCGAGCGUUAUUCGGAAUCACUGGGCGUAAAGCGUGCGUAGGCUGUUUUGUGAGUCAGAAGUGAAAGCCCAGGGCUUAACCCUGGAAUUGCUUUUGAAACUACAAGACUCGAAUUCGGGAGAGGAUAGCGGAAUUGUCAGUGUAGCAGUGAAAUGCGUAGAUAUUGACAGGAACACCAGUGGCGCAAGCGGCUAUCUGGACCGAUAUUGACGCUGAGGCACGAAAGCGUGGGGAGCAAACAGGAUUAGAAACCCGAGUAGUCC